rnacentral:rRNA from 1 species
GAUGAACGCUGGCGGCGUGCCUAAUACAUGCCAGUCGAGCGGACGGACGAGAAGCUUGCUUCUCUGAUGUUAGCGGCGGACGGGUGAGUAACACGUGGAUAACCUACCUAUAAGACUGGGAUAACUUCGGGAAACCGUAGCUAAUACCGGAUAAUAUUUUGAACCGCAUGGUUCAAAAGUGAAAGACGGUCUUGCUGUCACUUAUAGAUGGAUCCGCGCUGCAUUAGCUAGUUGGUAAGGUAACGGCUUACCAAGGCAACGAUGCAUAGCCGACCUGAGAGGGUGAUCGGCCACACUGGAACUGAGACACGGUCCAGACUCCUACGGGAGGCAGCAGUAGGGAAUCUUCCGCAAUGGGCGAAAGCCUGACGGAGCAACGCCGCGUGAGUGAUGAAGGUCUUCGGAUCGUAAAACUCUGUUAUUAGGGAAGAACAUAUGUGUAAGUAACUGUGCACAUCUUGACGGUACCUAAUCAGAAAGCCACGGCUAACUACGUG